rnacentral:miRNA from 1 species
GAACCGAACCGAACCGAAA